rnacentral:rRNA from 1 species
GACGAACGCUGGCGGCGUGCCUAAUACAUGCAAGUAGAACGCACAGUUUAUACCGUAGCUUGCUACACCAUAGACUGUGAGUUGCGAACGGGUGAGUAACGCGUAGGUAACCUGCCUGGUAGCGGGGGAUAACUAUUGGAAACGAUAGCUAAUACCGCAUAAUAUUAAUUAUUGCAUGAUAAUUAAUUGAAAGGUGCAAUUGCACCACUACCAGAUGGACCUGCGUUGUAUUAGCUAGUAGGUGAGGUAACGGCUCACCUAGGCGACGAUACAUAGCCGACCUGAGAGGGUGAUCGGCCACACUGGGACUGAGACACGGCCCAGACUCCUACGGGAGGCAGCAGUAGGGAAUCUUCGGCAAUGGACGAAAGUCUGACCGAGCAACGCCGCGGGAGUGAAGAAGGUUGUCGGAUCGUAAAGCUCUGUUGUAAGAGAAGAACGGGUGUGAGAGUGGAAAGUUCACACUGUGACGGUAUCUUACCAGAAAGGGACGGCUAACUAUGUG